rnacentral:rRNA from 1 species
UGCAGCAGGCGCGAAACCUUUACACUGCACGCCAGUGCGAUAAGGGAAUUCCAAGUGGGUAGGCAUAGAGCCUUCGCUUUUGUCCACCGUAGGGAGGUGGACGAAUAAGGGCUGGGCAAGACCGGUGCCAGCCGCCGCGGUAAUACCGGCAGCCCAAGUGAUGGCCGAUUUUAUUGGGCCUAAAGCGUCCGUAGCUGGCCGCGCAAGUCCAUUGGGAAAUCCACCCGCUCAACGGGUGGGCGUCCGGUGGAAACUGCGUGGCUUGGGACCGGAAGACUCGACGGGUACGUCCGGGGUAGGAGUGAAAUCCCGUAAUCCUGGACGGACCACCGAUGGCGAAAGCACGUCGCGAGGACGGAUCCGACAGUGAUCUCGCCCGCCGCGCCCCG